UGAUAGCUUCAUAUCUUUCAGGCAAUU
rnacentral:sRNA from 1 species